CAGUCGCCACGGGAAUACAGAGGGUGCAAGCGUUAAUCGGAAUUACUGGGCGUAAAGCGCGCGUAGGUGGUUUGUUAAGUUGGAUGUGAAAGCCCCGGGCUCAACCUGGGAACUGCAUCCAAAACUGGCAAGCUAGAGUACGGUAGAGGGUGGUGGAAUUUCCUGUGUAGCGGUGAAAUGCGUAGAUAUAGGAAGGAACACCAGUGGCGAAGGCGACCACCUGGACUGAUACUGACACUGAGGUGCGAAAGCGUGGGGAGCAAACAGGAUUAGAGACCCGCGUAGUCCCUGUCUCUUAUAU
rnacentral:rRNA from 1 species